rnacentral:rRNA from 1 species
ACGCACGCUGGCGGCGCGCCUCACCCAUGCAAGUCGCACGAGCGAGAGAGAGCUUGCUUUCUCGAGCGAGUGGCGAACGGGUGAGUAACGCGUGAGGAACCUGCCUCAAAGAGGGGGACAACAGUUGGAAACGACUGCUAAUACCGCAUAAGCCCACGACCCGGCAUCGGGUAGAGGGAAAAGGAGCAAUCCGCUUUGAGAUGGCCUCGCGUCCGAUUAGCUAGUUGGUGAGGUAACGGCCCACCAAGGCGACGAUCGGUAGCCGGACUGAGAGGUUGAACGGCCACAUUGGGACUGAGACACGGCCCAGACUCCUACGGGAGGCAGCAGUGGGGAAUAUUGCACAAUGGGGGAAACCCUGAUGCAGCGACGCCGCGUGGAGGAAGAAGGUCUUCGGAUUGUAAACUCCUGUUGUUGAGGAAGAUAAUGACGGUACUCAACAAGGAAGUGACGGCUAACUACGUG